CCCUAGUAACUGCGAGUGAAGCGGGAAAAGCUCAAAUUUAAAAUCUGGCGGUCUUUGGCCGUCCGAGUUGUAAUCUAGAGAAGUGCUAUCCGCGCUGGACCGUGUACAAGUCUCCUGGAAUGGAGCGUCAUAGAGGGUGAGAAUCCCGUCUUUGACACGGACUGCCAGGGCUUUGUGAUGUGCUCUCAAAGAGUCGAGUUGUUUGGGAAUGCAGCUCAAAAUGGGUGGUAAAUUCCAUCUAAAGCUAAAUAUUGGCGAGAGACCGAUAGCGAACAAGUACCGUGAGGGAAAGAUGAAAAGAACUUUGGAAAGAGAGUUAAACAGUACGUGAAAUUGCUGAAAGGGAAACGCUUGAAGUCAGUCGCGUUGGCCGGGGAUCAACCUUGCUUUUGCUGGGUGUACUUUCCGGUUGACGGGUCAGCAUCAAUUUUGACCGUUGGAUAAAGUCUGUGGGAAUGUGGCUUCUUCGGAAGUGUUAUAGCCCAUGGUCGCAUACAACGGUUGGGAUUGAGGAACUCAGCACGCCGCAAGGCCGGGUAUUUAUACCACGUUCGUGCUUAGGAUGCUGGCAUAAUGGCUUUAAUCGACCCGUCUUGAAACACGGACCAAGGAGUCUAACAUGCCUGCGAGUGUUUGGGUGGAAAACCCGAGCGCGUAAUGAAAGUGAAAGUUGAGAUCCCUGUCGUGGGGAGCAUCGACGCCCGGACCAGACCUUUUGUGACGGAUCCGCGGUAGAGCAUGUAUGUUGGGACCCGAAAGAUGGUGAACUAUGCCUGAAUAGGGUGAAGCCAGAGGAAACUCUGGUGGAGGCUCGUAGCGAUUCUGACGUGCAAAUCGAUCGUCAAAUUUGGGUAUAGGGGCGAAAGACUAAU
rnacentral:rRNA from 1 species